UUAGGUAGCCAUAUACUAGGAAAAAUAAUUUUGGCCAAUCACUUGGUCAAGAUCAUUGCUAGUAGCUGGAAAAUGUAUGCUAUAUAAUAAGUAGAGAUAGAACAUAUUCUGAACGUUUUGUCAGGAGUUAAGUUUUGCCAAAUACUUUCAAGUGUUACAUUGGUAAAGCCAAGUUCAAUCACCAAAUGAGAAGAGGUCAACUCCGACUAUCCCACUUAUCCAUGGUUCCAUGAUUUCUCACAAGAAUGAAGCUUAUUACUUGGGAAACAUGAUUCUCUACCUCUGAAGACUUGUCUUUUAUAGAUAAAUGAGUGUUAUGUCAAUGAAUUCGCUCAUUUUUUCAUGACCAAGUAGGCAUUAUCCCUCCAAAGCAUACUAUUUUGGGGCAACAGGACUAACUGAUAAACAGAAUUCUUCUUUUAUAAUGUCAAAGAUCUCUUUACUUUUGACAUCCCAGAUUUCCAACUAAGGCCCUAGGAAGCUUUUUGUGGAGAUUAUUGUGUAGUUAUCAUGAAGUUAUCUCUUUAGACUCAUGUCUACACAAGGGAAGAUAUUGUUGCCACAGUAUGAACAACUGUUCUUCAGGUCUUCAUUAAUUUGCUUCAGUGAUCAGGCUAGCAUGAGCAAAGGCUAAACACAACCACAUAAAAAACUAGUUAUGUGGUUGUAGUUUAUGUCAGGUCCAAACCAUCCAGAAUCCAUUCUGGUAAGGUAUGUUACCAAGAAUGUCUCUUAUUCUAUGAGAUUUUAUGUCAGGAGAUUUGACUUAAUUUUGACCAACAGAGAAAUCUGAGGAUGAGAAUUGCAAGAGGUAUAUCAAAAUAUUGAGAAGGUAAAGGAAGUUAAUAUUGAAAGGAUACAUUCCAGUUGUGUCAAGCACUUUACUUAUGUUGUUUUUUCUCUGCAACAACCCUGUAUACAUUAUUGCUCAAUUCUACUAGUGGACAAAGAGAAGCUUCUGGAUCUUUAAAUUUUUACCUGAGGCCAUAAAGCAAGUAACUGGUAAUGCUGCAAGUUAAACUGAAUACCAUAUUUGCCUGAAGCCCAUAAUGUCCUGAAUACCGGUUUCAGCCAAAGGACUUAAAAGACCUUGGUAAAAUUUAGCUAACAUUGCUGAUGCCAUUUAUGGUGAUAGUACCUUCUCUCUCUUUCAUCUUUAUGUUGCCUCACUUUUCAAAGUCACUCCCUGUAAUAAGCUUCUAUUUUGUCUUUCUUUCUCUUCCUCUUUCCUUUGCUCCUAGAGAACAUUGAAGAUCUAUCAUCUUCGAUAUCAAACUUCAUCCAUAUCAGACAUCUUUCACAUCAAUUUAAUAAAAGUAGCUCCAUUAAUGAGUAACAGUGAUCUACCAGUUCACAAUAGUUUCUACGGUAUUUUUUUCCUCAGGGAGUAUGAAUGUAAAUCUGUCAGUCCAAAAUUCAGGGUGUCUGUAAAUGUUCUGUAAAAUCCUUAUGAUAUAUUAUAUAAUCCUUCAAGCUUUCUUCCAAAACUCUUUUAUAUAUUUUCAUUAAUCUAACAAUUUUUUUUCUAGGAAAUUUCUUUUGAGAUGAGGAAACAAACUUUUAUGGAGACCUAAGAGACUGAAGACAUCUGGCCUGGACUACUCCGAUGGUAAAAUUGAAAGUACAUUGAAAUUUGCUUUGUUAUAGGAUUCUCUUCAGAGGACAAGAGAAGACGUUAUAUUCUCUGCAGGAGGACAAUUCUGCAGCAUCAACAUUGAAUAAUACUUGUUUUCUGGCAGCAGAAUUUUGUAUCAUAUUUCCAAAGACAGUAAGCACUUGGGUGGACGUCAAUGAAUACUAAACACUAAUUGAUCUGAUACAGCCAUAUGCACAUACACAGAUAUACAUGGUAGCUUAUAAUGGUUGAAAAAUUACAGUUUGGUUCUAUUAAAAGAUCUGUCACUUUUAGGUCAGAGUGGGAUUUUGGGGGGGUAGUCUCCCACAAUAGAAAACUAUCUUGACAACAGUGGUGUUUUGGGGUUGUUUGUUGUUUAGCUUGUUGAUGAUGCUUAGCUAAGGAGACACUUCCUUUCAGAUUCUGUCUUCGAAACCCCAGGGCUCUGUUCUGGGCAGUUCAGCCUAAUGGAAUUAAGCCUGACAUGUUUCAACUCUAUUUCUUGAUAAAAUAAACAUAAAACAAUGGUUUAGAUUUCGAAUAAAACUCUUGAAGCAUGGGGA